UUCCGGUUGAUCCCGCCGGACCUGACUGCUAUCGGAUUGAUACUAAGCCAUGCGAGUCAUUGUAGCAAUACAAGGCAGACGGCUCAGUAACGCGUAGUCAACCUAACCUAUGGACGGGAAUAACCUCGGGAAACUGAGAAUAAUGCCCGAUAGAACACUAUACCUGGAAUGGUUUGUGUUCCAAAUGAUUUAUCGCCAUAGGAUGGGACUGCGGCCUAUCAGUUUGUUGGUGAGGUAAUGGCCCACCAAGACUAUUACAGGUACGGGCUCUGAGAGGAGUAGCCCGGAGAUGGGUACUGAGACACGGACCCAGGCCCUAUGGGGCGCAGCAGGCGAGAAAACUUUGCAAUGUGCGAAAGCACGACAAGGUUAAUCCGAGUGAUUUGUGCUAAACGAAUCUUUUGUUAGUCCUAGAAACACUAACGAAUAAGGGGUGGGCAAGUUCUGGUGUCAGCCGCCGCGGUAAAACCAGCACCUCAAGUGGUCAGGAUGAUUAUUGGGCCUAAAGCAUCCGUAGCCGGCUCUGUAAGUUUUCGGUUAAAUCUGUACGCUCAACGUACAGGCUGCCGGGAAUACUGCAGAGCUAGGGAGUGGGAGAGGUAGACGGUACUCGGUAGGAAGGGGUAAAAUCCUUUGAUCUAUUGAUGACCACCUGUGGCGAAGGCGGUCUACCAGAACACGUCCGACGGUGAGGGCUGAAAGCUGGGGGAGCAAACCGGAUUAGAUACCCGGGUAGUCCCAGCUGUAAACUAUGCAAACUCAGUGAUGCAUUGACUUGUGGUCAAUGCAGUGCUGCAGGGAAGCC
rnacentral:rRNA from 1 species